rnacentral:rRNA from 1 species
CCCUUAGAUGUUCUGGGCUGCACGCGCGCUACACUGAUACUUUCAGCGAGUCCACCACCUUGCCUGGGAAGGUGGGGUAACCUCUGGAAAGUGCAUCGUGAUGGGGAUCGAUUAUUGUAAUUAUUAAUCUUCAACGAGGAAUUCCUAGUAGACGUAGUUCAUCAGACUGCAUCGAUUACGUCCCUGCCCUUUGUACACACCGCCCGUCGCUCCUACCGAUUGAAUGCUCAGGUGAGCCAUUCGGACUUUCAUCAUGCUGGUUUCCAGUUUUGAUGAAGGAAAGUCUUGCGAACCUUAUCAUUUAGAGGAAGGAGAAGUCGUAACA